AGAUUCCUUCAUGGAGACCAGCUGUGUAUAAAGGAAGUUCAAAACUUAAUGUUAGAAUAAAAGAAGAAGUUAGGGCUGUCCAGUAUGAUAAGGAAGACAUUGAAGACAUAUGUCAAUUGUAUGGAUCAGUAUUAUGCAAGGCAGAACUUGAGGGUCACCCUGACAUAGUAUUAAACUUGACCACGCCUCCUGACUCCUCCCAUCUCGAUCACUUAACUGUUCAUUCUUGUGUACAGUCGUCUGAUGCUGAGCCAGUACUAGCUGAUACUACUAAUAGACACACUGACACUCCUCAUUAUUCAAGGAGUGUUAGGUUCUCGGCUCCUUUGGAGACAUUCACAUUGUGUCAUUAUCAACAGUCACCAGCUUUGAUACCAAUAAGAGGAUUCUAUCAAA